GCUCUGCUCACCUGCACUGGAUCUGCAAUCACACUCCUGCCAGCCAUCAUCCAAUCACCACAGCCUACAAGAACCCUGCACCAACAUCCAGUCCCUGCUGGAUCGUUAUGCCUACAUGGACCCUUCAGCUACAAGCUCUGCCACCGUCUUCACUCUCCUGCCUGUUGACCACCGUCUGGAUCCCUCAGCACCCCAGGACCCCCACCAGCUAUCCCCUCACCCUGCACUUCAACAAUAAACUUUGGGAAAGACA